rnacentral:rRNA from 1 species
CAGGCCUAACACAUGCAAGUCGAGCGGACCUUUCGGGGUCAGCGGCGGACGGGUGAGUAACGCGUGGGAACGUGCCCUUUUCUACGGAAUAGCCUCGGGAAACUGAGCGUAAUACCGUAUACGCCCUUUUGGGGAAAGAUUUAUCGGAGAAGGAUCGGCCCGCGUUGGAUUAGGUAGUUGGUGGGGUAAUGGCCUACCAAGCCUUCGAUCCAUAGCUGGUUUGAGAGGAUGAUCAGCCACACUGGGACUGAGACACGGCCCAGACUCCUACGGGAGGCAGCAGUGGGGAAGCUUAGACAAUGGGGGCAACCCUGAUAUAGCCAUGCCGCGUGAGUGAUGAAGGCCUUAGGGUUGUAAAGCGCUUUCAGCUGGGAAGAUAAUGACGUGACCAGCAGAAGAAGCCCCGGCUAACUCCGUGCCAGCAGCCGCGUGAAGAAU